rnacentral:rRNA from 1 species
GGGUGAGUAACGCAUCGGAACGUGCCUAAUAGUGGGGGAUAACUAGUCGAAAGAUUAGCUAAUACCGCAUACGACCUAAGGGUGAAAGUGGGGGAUCGCAAGACCUCACGCUAAUAGAGCGGCCGAUGUCAGAUUAGCUAGUUGGUGGGGUAAAGGCCCACCAAGGCGACGAUCUGUAGCUGGUCUGAGAGGACGACCAGCCACACUGGGACUGAGACACGGCCCAGACUCCUACGGGAGGCAGCAGUGGGGAAUUUUGGACAAUGGGGGCAACCCUGAUCCAGCAAUGCCGCGUGUGUGAAGAAGGCCUUCGGGUUGUAAAGCACUUUUGUCAGAGAAGAAAUCUGUUGCGUUAAUACCGUGACUGGAUGACGGUAUCUGAAGAAUAAGGGCCGGCUAACUACGUGCCAGCAGCCGCGGUAAUACGUAGGGUCCAAGCGUUAAUCGGAAUUACUGGGCGUAAAGCGUGCGCAGGCGUUAUGUAAGACAGAUGUGAAAUCCCCGGGCUCAACCUGGGAACUGCAUUUGUGACUGCAUGGCUAGAGUGUGGCAGAGGGGGGUAGAAUUCCACGUGUAGCAGUGAAAUGCGUAGAUAUGUGGAGGAAUACCGAUGGCGAAGGCAGCCCCCUGGGCCAAUACUGACGCUCAUGCACGAAAGCGUGGGGAGCAUACAGGAUUAGAUACCCUGGUAGUCCACGCCCUAAACGAUGCCUACUAGUUGUUGGGUCUUCAUUGACUCAGUAACGCAGCUAACGCGUGAAGUAGGCCGCCUGGGGAGUACGGUCGCAAGAUUAAAACUCAAAGGAAUUGACGGGGACCCGCACAAGCGGUGGAUGAUGUGGAUUAAUUCGAUGCAACGCGAAAAACCUUACCUACGCUUGACAUGUCUGAAAGUUUCCAGAGAUGGAUUCGUGCUCGAAAGAGAAUCAGAACACAGGUGCUGCAUGGCUGUCGUCAGCUCGUGUCGUGAGAUGUUGGGUUAAGCCCCGCAACGAGCGCAACCCUUGUCAUUAGUUGCUACGAAAGGGCACUCUAAUGAGACUGCCGGUGACAAACCGGAGGAAGGUGGGGAUGACGUCAAGUCCUCAUGGCCCUUAUGCGUAGGGCUUCACACGUCAUACAAUGGUCGGUACAGAGGGUUGCCAACCCGCGAGGGGGAGCUAAUCUCAGAAAGCCGAUCGUAGUCCGGAUUGUAGUCUGCAACUCGACUACAUGAAGUCGGAAUCGCUAGUAAUCGCGGAUCAGCAUGUCGCGGUGAAUACGUUCCCGGGUCUUGUACACACCGCCCGUCACACCAUGGGAGUGGCUUUUGCCAGAAGUAGGUAGCUUAACCGCAAGGAGGGCGCUUACCACGGCAGGGGUCAUGACUGGGGUGAAG